CAAAAAAAAGCUAUAUUAUGUGAAUUGGUUAUGCCAUCCCUAUAUAUAUGUGACACAAAAGAUCUUAGGGUGAAAUUCAUUUCCACGGAUGGACGAGGGAGUAGCUUCGCAAAUCCUCAAAAACAAGAAAAAGAAGAAGAAUCUCUAUAUCUUACCGACAUCACAGCAAAAGUUGAUAAUCUAAGAAUAAAUAAUUCUCAUAAAUCCAAGCCUAGAAUUGUGAGUAGCGUUGCAAAGAAAUCCAAGCCUCGUAUAAUUGUGAGUAGCCCUGCAAGGAAAUCCAAGUCCAAAGUCUUCGAAAACCACAAGAAACUCUUCUGAAUCUGGAGCAGCAGUCGGAGGCUCCCACAAGAAACCAAGCUCCAUUUCUUGCUCAGUUCAAUUACAUCACACCGAGAUUUGAUAAUCUAAGCAUAAAUAAUUCUGAUGAAUCUUCAUUUCCAUUUCCUGCUAAGUUCAACAACAUUGCAACACUAUUCGAUUUUGAUGAGUCCUGGAGAUCGCCCUGGAGAUUUCUUCGCAAACAAGCAGCGAAACAAAUUAAACUUGAGAAUCUAAAACAAAAGAUACUCUGGGGCAUUCCUCGCCUUGCUGUGAUUACAUGCUAUGCUUUCCAAAUAUACUUGGAUGUUGAGAUUGUUCCUAAUGAUUCUAAGGCAAAAACAAUAUUGCAGUCAUUCGCCGAUAAUGGGAUUACUGGAAAAUCGAUCGCUGAAGCACUUGUGAAAGACGCAGAACAAGUAUCUUUUUGUCCAAUGUCCAAACUUGGAUAACUAAAAAGCUCAACUUGUUUAUCAUGUUAACAAAUCACCUUAAAUCAAAAUUUACAACAUUUAGUUAUUAUGGUGGUAACUAAUGUAAUAUGUAUUAUCAUGUAAUGGGUAGCUUGAAGAGAUGCCUUCUACAAGACUUUUUUUAUAUGACUAGCAUAAACGUUCAUGAAAUUUUGUUACAAUCAAUCAGGAUUAAGUUCAUAACUGCUUAGUGUGUGUUUGGAUAUUAGUUUCAUGCAACAUAAACUUUCAUGUCAAUUCAUAAGUAUAGUUCUAUUCUCUUUUUGUCUCCAUGUGUCAAUCCAAUGUUAACUUAUGUCUGUUUUGUACUAGUGACAACGGGAUUCAAACAUAGCCAUAGCUUUUCUUUAAGUUCAUCUUUAAAUUGGGAUAGCUCUUACUAAAACACCAAAUGGAGCAAGCCUUAGGCAAUACCCUCUAGGACUGAUUGUGUUGUCCUCGAGCUUUUAUUUUGAAUUUGUUGAUGAAAUUUUGUAAUCUGUAC